CAAGAAUAACACCAUGAGCAGUAAAGGAGCGUGUGCGAUGGCGUGUGAUCGAAGGCCGGUAAGCUCACAGGAGGGCGUCACAGGUGUGGGGCGUGUGUGAUGGCGUGUGAUCGAAGGCCGGUAAGCUCACAGGAGGGCGCCACAGGUGUGGAGCGUGUGCGAUGGCAUGUGAUCGAAGGCCUGUGAGCUCACAGGAGUGUGCCACAGGUGUGGGGCGUGUGCGAUGGCGUGUGAUUGAAGGCCGGUAAGCUCACAGGAGGGCGCCACAGGUGUGGGGCGUGUGCGAUGGCGUGUGAUCGAAGGCCGGUAAGCUCACAGGAGUGUGCCACAGGUGUGGGGCGUGUGCGAUGGCGUGUGAUCGAAGGCCUGUAAGCUCACAGGAGUGCGUCACAGG
rnacentral:lncRNA from 1 species